rnacentral:lncRNA from 10 species
GUCAAGGGCAGAGUAACCAAGAGAUCUCAGCAAGCAUGAGGGAGAUUCAAGGAGCUGGCAUUGUGUGACUGGGGACAGAAAAGCCCUCAUGCAGGCAGGCGGGUCACAAUUGUUCCCUUCAGAUUUCUGAGGGGCUGCCUUGGUGGGAGAGGGGGUAGUUCAGUUCUGUGGGGCUCCAGGGGGCAAAAGGCAUGAUAAAUGAGUAGAAGUCAUGGAGAGGUGGAGCUUGCCUCCAGACAGAAUGCUAAGAAGGAUGCUGCUGCACAGUGGGGACUGAGCCAACUCACUGUUCAACAAAUAAGCAUUGGAGGGUCUCUAGUUCCAUAGAAAGAAGGCAAAUGAAGAGGACAGAAGAAGGAGAGAGACCUUCCCACCCCAUCAGCCCUAUGCUGCAGAGAGUUAAGUGAAGACAUAUGAUGUGCUCUGGCCAAUGAAAUGUGAGUGGAAGUGAUGUAUCUUCUCUGAAUUAAGGCUGCUAAAAGCCCU